rnacentral:lncRNA from 1 species
AUUAAUAUACAAAUGGAAAAUUGCUUGAUGAUUUGAAUUAAUAAAUGGUUGUCUUACUGAAAAUCCUGUGAUAUGGUGGACGGACCGAAUACAUAGGGAACCUUAUUGUGAACGUCACCUCAUACCAGACGAGGUAUCAAGAGAUGGUAUUUUUGGCGCUCAUACCGAACAAGGUAUGAGGACGACCCAGUUCACCCUCAUAUCGGAUAUCAAGGGAUGACAUUUUUAGCACUCAUACUAGAUGU